CACUACUACUACUGUUUUAGAGCAGCGAAGGAGAACUGACUGCAGGUAGUUUGUCACAUGACGAUAGCAAACAACAACAGUGUGGUGCUAGAGGAGAGUGUAACGGUAGUCAGAGCGAGGGAAAUUUCACAGAGGAAAUUAACCCAGACAUAACCCUAACGCUUCCGUUUGGAGGAGUGGCACUAGUGUUGCCAAGCUAAGUUGCCAUUGGAUCGGUACUCGGUAUUGACCGAUGCCGCAAGUUCAGGUAUUUGAUUCAGUAUCAGGAAGGAAAAAAAUGGUAUCGGAACAUCUCUUCUUUGUAUUAGAGUUGUUCCGAUAUCAGUAUUAGAAAUGCGUCUGAUGCUGCCUAAUAUUCGGUAUCGGGUAUUGGCAAGUACGCCAGUCUACGCACCGACACAAUACCAUUAUUUAUUAACCCAGAACUUGUUUAACCGGAAAUCAGUUCAGGUAUCGGUAAGGAAUAAAUGGUAUCGGAACAUCUCUACUUAGUAUUAACUUUAACAGGAGCAAUUAAAGCAACCAAUUCCUCCACAGAGAAACAAGUGAUUGACCGUAGCACUUCCACAAAAACCUGAAGCUGCAAUAAGACAAAAAAUAAAUGUAUAUAUCUACACUCUUGGUGAUGUUUUCACUGGAUUUGUAAACUGCGGUUCCUUCAAUGAACUUUUCACGGGACCUUUUAGGACAGGUGGACGACUUUUACAGUGAUUUAUUUAGAUUUUUUUUUGUCAAAUCAAGGCGAAGGGCUUCAUAUCGAGACACAAACUCCCUUUAUGCCGGCCCUCUGCUAAUGUAUCACUAACAACCAGGACGCUGUCUGGGAGCUCAUACUGCACACUGUUUACCUAGCACUUAACAUCUGGAAGCAUGUAGCAUCCAUACAGGACAUUACAGUAGAUUACAUGUCUUCUUUCUACUGUCAAUAGUGUGCAUUAUGAGCAGGACAGAUCCGUGGAUGCAUUUUGAUGUGGAAUGAUUGCUGUUUUCUUUCUAACCUCUUCUUUUUUUCUGUCCCUGAUUCCACCGUGUAACUUAAAAAUGACAUGAAUAAAAUAAACUUUAGGGCUGUGUGAGAGCUGAGCUGUGAGUGUGUGGCGCUGGUUCGUGCACGAGGCCUCGGCGAAGUGAAAACAGGUGCGACACUCAUGAUGGACGCCAGAGUCUGUUGGGUUUGUCCAGAGUAUGUGCUGAGGUUUCCUCUCCUGGAUCAGCCGUCCUGAAGGUUGGCUUCCUCCUCCUCCUCUUCCUCGGGUACUACACUUGAGAUGGACGCCAGUGUCACGCUACCCCACCCGUACACCACCACCACCAGAUUUAGAAAUUGACAGGUAAAGUGAUGACAAUGAAAGAAACUAAAAAUAAAGUGAAAGCAAUAUUGUAAAUCUA